GCUGAGGGUAAAAAUGGUUGUAGGAUUGGAUGCAGAGAAUCUACAAGCGGAUGAUGAAGAUGAACAAGGUGGAGAUGAUAAAGGAUUGCGAAAUUUGAAGCAUGGGAAAGAAGGUGAUGAUGAUACUGACAUUUUUUCUAUAUAAAAUUCUGUAACAGUUUUAUUGAUAAUUGUCGAAUACUAAUAUUUGCAAUUGAUUACUGUCAUCCUAUAUCCUAUAUGGCAUACAUAUUAUACAUCAAAUCAUUAAUCAUUACAUGUAUGUUACGUAGGAUAUCUAUAAUAUUAAGCAACUACAAAUAACAUUAUUCGAUAAUUUAUUGGUGGGAGUGUGAAGAAAUGGCAGAGAAGUUCGGGUGGUGGAUUUGAGAAUUUGGUGAUUAUUUGCCGGUUGAUGGAUAAGACACGGCCAAAUUUGUGUGCGACGGUGGUUAGUCUACAAGCCACGUAAAGAGCAAACUUAUAAUCAAUUAUAAAUUUAUAAUUUUUGACAAACAUGAAAUCGAGUUAAUUAUUAUAAUGAUCACUGAACUUAAGUUCAUAUCUUUAAAUGACCACUAAAGUUUAAAAUGUCAGUUUUGGUCACUGAACUUAGGUUCAUAUUUUUUAUUGCUAACUGAACUUAAGUCAUGUCUUCGAUUGCUCACUGAAUUUAAAAUGGUGAAUUUUGAUCAUUGAAGUUUGGAAUAUGAUCUGCGUUACUCACUAACAUAACUGUUGAACUUUGAAAAAUAUCGAAUUUACAGUGAGUAAUAUACAGUAUUUUUCAAAGUUCAAUGAGUGAUGUACAAUAUUUUUCAAAGUUCAGUGUCCAAAACUCAAUAUUUUAAACUACAGUGAGCAAUCGAAAAUAUGGACCUAAGUUCAGUGACCAUUGGAAUAAUUAACUCCAUGAAAUCAAUAAUACAUCUUUAUAACCCUUUAAAAUCUUAAGCGUACACGCUUUUAUUAAAAGUAACAAAAAUAAAAAUAAAAUAGUGACGAGACUUGAUUUAAAACCUUUUUUCCCCUGUUUAAGUUCUUUAACCCAAAUGCUUGGACUUUAUAGUUAAAGUUAAAGGACUUCUACUAACACCAAGACAAAGAUACGGUCACAUUAACACGUCCAUUUAUCACUACUCCACAUUAUUAAAGUAUUAAAAAUAUGCAUUUUAAUCCUUUUAAUAAGAAUAUUAUUACAAUUCUCAUUUAACGAUUUUCAUUUCAAGGGUGUCACAUAGCAGUUAGGGUGCAUAUGAUUAAAAUAACAUGAUUUUCAGUACUUCCAACCAAGACAAGCAAGACGCGAUUGAAGAAGAAAGACGCGUAUUAUAUACAUUGAAGAAUAAAUACAUGGUUGAAAAAGAAUGACGUAUACUAUAUAGAUUGAUCUUGUUCAUCGGUUCUGCCCGAAUCCAUGUUACUAGUUUCAAUUGGUUUUUUGUAGGUUGCAGGUAGAAGCAGUGGGACUGAAGCAGAAGGAAGCCAAAGAUACUCCGUAGUGCUCUUCUGUAGAGAAGAUAGCCAUUGUUACGGCUUACAGCUCUUUACAAGAUCUUAGGGUCAUAAAUAGUGGUGUCAGUCGGCUGGGCUGGUUAACGUGCCAUAAUACCAAGCCUGGCAUGGCUUGGAUGAGCGCGGACCUGUCUCACGCCCGGGUCCACGCUCUUCCAGUCCAGGCCGGACCUGGCGAACCAACCCAACUUUGAUACCAAAACAUGUAAAUCACUACAUCAGUGUCCAAUCCUUUACAUGGUAGAGAGAACAUC
rnacentral:lncRNA from 1 species